rnacentral:lncRNA from 1 species
GGGCGGGAAGCUCUCAGAGCAGAUGUCAGCACUGUCACUCGGGUCGCCUGUGGUUACCUCAGCAUUUGUUUUACUGAGUUCUAUCUAUUAUUACUGUGUGGUGGUGCACAGCUUUGAUCCUAAAGCUUAGAUUGAUUGAUUAAUUAAUUACUUAAUGCAAUGCUGAGGAUUGGACCUAGGCUCUCCUGCAUGUUAGGCAAGUGCUCUACCACUGAGCUAUGUGCCUGGUCUCUAACCCAGGAUUUAGAUUCUCUUUGAAUACCCUUCUAAUAGUAUCCAUCCCACCUCUAUGGAAUGGAAGAUGACCUUGAACUUCUCAGUCCAUCUACCUCCACCCUGUGAGUGCUGGGAUGAUAGACUCUACUCUCACGCCAGAUUUUGUUCCUUUGGUGUUUCGAGACAGGGCUUCCUGUACCCAGGCUGGCCUCCAAGACUUGCUAUGUAGCAGAACUGGCCUUGAACUUAGAGUCCUAAUUGCUGGGCUUCUGCCUGGCUUGAGUGUAACUUAAUUGUAUGCCCUUUAUUUCUUCAAGUCCUCUCAGCAGAGGGCAUGUUUCAGAAGCUGACUUGAGGCUCUUUUUCAUAAGUACCUCUGCUGGGGAUGCUUAGAUGCAUGCACACACACACUACUCCCCGGCCAUCCUCCAGAGUCUUGUUGGUCAGUAAAUAUCAGCCACUUCAUUGAUAAACUCAAAUGGACUUGUGUGUGCCUUUCUUCCUUAGCUAGCAUAGACACUGCUCAUGGUGGUGCUACUGUGAUGGUUUGUGGGAUAGUCCCUACUGUGGUAAACUCUGCUAGCUAGGUACCAGGUGUUGGUUUUAGUACCUAAUGUCUGAAGAACUUGAGCCAGAGUCUCAGGUGGUCCAUGUUUAGAGUUAUAACACUUGGGUGGUGGAGGCAGGAGGAUCAGGAGUUUGAGACUGGCUAGCUUGGGCUACAUGAAACCCUGCUUCAAAACAAUAACAACAAAACCAGAAACGAUCCCCUAGAACAAAAAACAAGUGCAGGGCCUUGUAGAAGGCACGGCUUGGGCUGCACAUGCCUAAGCAACGGAAUUCAGUCCUGACUCCCACAGCUGCCCUCUGACCUGUAGCAUACUGUGGCUUGAAGCUACACUCAUACACACACUUCACACACACAUGAUAAUAAUAAAUCAGAAACGAAAAACAACCCCAAAACUCCGUAAGUGCAUAGAGCCCUCCAUGCUAGUCCUACAAAUGCACUUUCCUCUUCAUCCCCUCAUUAGUCUCCCAGCUAACAUCUCAGCGGCUGGAUCUCUCCGCACCAUCCUCCUAGUCAGCAUGCUACCGUCUGCAGAGCUAGGUUAUUAUCCUCAAAGUUGAGGGAAGGCUUUGCUCAUCAGAAAUGCUAUUUAAAAAAUUAGCUAAGAGCAGAGUUGACUUUCUGUGUAUUCAGGCCCAAGGGGGUGAUGGCACCCAGCAUGGAAACUUCGAUUGGUGAAGAUGUGUUUGAAAACCAUAGGGACAGUCCCCGAGCCACAUGAGGAGGAAGCAAAGUGUCUGGAAAGACAGUGGAGCGUAAUGACACACUAAAUGGCUUGUGGAAACGAUCCUAAUUACGCAUGAGAGCGCUGUCCCUCCGGACAUCCACAGCGGUGGGAAACUAAUGCUUAUUAAACCUUGCCUGUGUUGGGCCUCUGCACUAAAUACUGGUUCCUACCGUUCUCCCAAACAUCACUCUCUUCUUACUCUCAAUAACAGGAUGGGCAUAAUUAUAAGUUGUAAAUGAAGUACUGCAGUUUAUUUAAUAGAAGGGUAAGGAAAGGGCUACCUGUCCUGUCGCCUGCUUCUGCUACUGCUGAGGGGUAAAGCGAUGUUUACUGGACCUCACCUGAGGACCUCACCUGAGGCACGGAGGUGGCUCUCACAGUACCUCCCACACCUACAUCUGUGUCCAUAGUGGAUGCUGUAGGGAAGGGAGGAGACUGAGAUAGCCAGGGUGAGGACCCAGACAGCUCUGAGUUAGAAAUAAGCAGACCAAUGGUUAAACUUGCUUCCAGAUGGCAUAUGGUUGCUUACUAUAAUACUAGCAGUUUGGAGGCUGAGGCAGGAGGAUUGCAAGUUAGAGGCUAGCCCAGGUUACACAGUGAAACAGUGUCUCAGAAGAGAAAGGUGUUUUGUUUCCUUUCUCCUUCCUCCCCCAGCCCCCUCUUUCCAAGAUAGGAUUGCACUGUGUAGCUCUGGCUGUCCUGGAACUCACUCUGUAGACCAGGCUGGCCUCAAAAAAAAAGUUAACUUUAUAGUGUUUUUAAAAUAUAUAAACCUUUUAAAAUUUAUAGUAUAAUUUAGUUUUUUUUUUUUAAUGUACUUUUUUCUUUGGAAUUUUAAUUUGAACUUAAAGAUUUUUACUUUUUAAAAUUCUGUGUGUGUCUUUAAUGUGGGGUGGGUGAAUGUGAGCACAGGUGUAAGGGUGGCAAGAGCUCCAGCCAUGGAGCCAUCCAUAUCCACCCCCCACCCCAAUCCUUGUGAAUCCAGUUUUCACUCACCUUUAUGUGUAUGCAUCUCUGUAGUCCUGGACAGCCCGCCUGGCACAAGCUGUGGGCAGUGCCGCUUUUCCCUCUUGAGAGCUGGGGGUGAUAGGGGCUUACCACCAUGUGUGGCUCCAAAUUUUAGUAAGGUUUACAAAAUGUUAUUUAUUUUUAUGUGUAUGAACUUUCUGUUUGUAUGUAUAGCUAUGUACUGUGUGCCUCUGAGGACGCCAAAGCAGGGCGUUGGAUCUCCUGGGACUGGCGUUACAGAUAUAUUGGCUCUAAAUUUUAGUUGGAGACAGGAUCUCACCGUGUUUUUCAGGUGGGCCUGGCACAGUUUAUGUAGCCCAGGGUGACCUUUACCUUUAUGUAGCCCAGGCUGGCCUUGAACUCACAGUCCUCCUGCCUCAACCUCCUAAUAGCUGGGAAUACAGGAAUAUGUCACAUGCUGUACAUUUCCUUUUUCUCCUCCUGAGAGGAGGUGACUUUCUGUGCAGCCCUAGCUGUCUGGGAAUAAACAACCCCCGGCUUUGUUACUGAUGUUAUACACGUUAAAGUAUCUCUGUUCCAGUUAGAUUGUACCUUGAGAAAACUUGGGGCUGGAGAGCCAGCUUAGUGGUUAAAAGCACUUGUUACUCUUGCAGAGGACUGUACGCACACUCUUGGUGGCUAACUCCACCAUGGUCAGUAACUCCAGUUCUAGGCGAUCAACAUCCUCUUCCUGAGCCUUCCUCUCCACAGUCCCCAGGCACUUCAGGCAAAAUAUCCCAU